GAGGUAGAUUUUAAGAGCUUUGGAGUCAGAUUGGUAUGGCAUGUUGUGAUCAUAAUUAAAUCAGUAUAAAGGCUUAGGUGAAGAGUAAUGAUGUGGGAUGCCGAGAUUUCUGCUGGUGUUUGAAGGUCACAAGACUACAGAGAUGUAAAGCACAAAGCAGUUACCCCUGCCAGUCUCUCAGGAGAUGAGCCAUUAGUUGUAGUUAUUACCCGCCUCUUUGGAUCAUUUCCUGGCAAUUUUAAGGUGUUGUUAUGGCAAAGAGAGUCUCACUCUGCUGACCAGGCUGGAGUACAGUAGUGCCAUCUUGGCUCACUGCAACCUCGACCUCCCAGGUUCAAGCAAUCCUUCCACCUCUGUCUCCCAAGUAGCUGGGACUACAGAAAGUCCUACAGUGCCUCUCUCCAGUCAGUUUCUCCCCAUGUUGGCAACUGUUUUCAAUCAUCAUAGAUAAAUUUUCAGUUUGGAUUCAUGCAGUAAGUACACUAUUCAUUUUUGUCUGGCUUUUUCUCUUACCAUAACAUUUUCAAGAUCAAUUCAUGAUGAUUAUACAUAGUUGAGAUCCACUGCUGAUAUUUUGCAUAUUUACAUAAGUGAGGUUGUAUGCAAUUAUUAUUGUUUAUUGUUUGUUGUUGCUUAAUAGUGUGUCACUGGAUGGAUACAUACCAUGACUUGCUUGUCUAUACUUCUGGUAUUGGUCAUUUGGAUGGUUUCUGUAUUGUAUAUCGUAAAUCACGAAGAAGGGUUCCACAUUCUUUUCUAAGUCUAUUCGAUGAUUUUGUUUAUGUAACUACCUAGGAAUUAAAACACUGUGUUAAAUAGUAGAUAUAUAUUUAAUUUAUAAGAAAUUGCUUUGCAAUUUCUCAAAGUGAGUAAGGAAUUUUAUACUCUCGCUGGCAAUUAAUAGGUCAGAGGAUACUUAGCCUCACCAACAUUUUGCUUUGUCAUAUUUUUUGGUUCAGCCAUUCUGGUGGGAGUGAACUGAUAUUUCAUUGUGGAUUCAGUUUAGAUUUACAUAUUGACCAUUUAUGUUGAACAUCUUUGCACGUGUUUAUAGGCCAUUUGCAUAUAUUAAUUUGUCAAGAGUGUUCAAGCCUUCAACUCAUUUUAUAUUGAGUUGUUAAUUAUUUUAUCAUUAAUUUGCAUACCAUUUAUUACAUAUAUUGGAUAAAAGCUUUUGGUCACAAAUAUGUGUUGUAAUAUAUUUCCUCCAGUAUCUGCUUGUCUACUCAUUUUAUUAUUUUAUUUCAUAAUUUGUGCUUUUUAUUUUCUAUUCAAGAAAAUACACUUCUGUUUUCUUCUGAAGCUUUAUUAUCCUGGUUAUGUCAAUUUCUGGAAGGGUUAUGGAUAAGUGAAUUUCAUUUAUUUCUUAUAUGGAUACCCGAUUAUUUCAACGUUUGUGAAAAUAUUUUUCCUCUAUUGUAUUUACUUGGCAUUUUUGUCAAAAUCAGUUUAUUAAAUAUAUGAAGGUCUAUUUCUGAACACUCUACUUAAUUCCAUUUAUUUAGUUCCAUACACUAAUACCAUGCUCUCUUCUUUCUGUAGUUUUAUAGUAACCCUUGAAAUCAAGUAACUAAGACCUUUAAUUUUGAUAUUUUUAAAGACUGAAUUACCUAUUCUGUAUCCUCAUUACCUCCACAUCAAUUUUAGAAUUAUCUUCUCUAUAUAUUUUAAAUAAUUGCUUGGGAAUUUGGUAAGGAAUCUGACUAGAAUCUGCAUAUCAAUUUAUGAAGAACAGUCACAGUAAUAAUAUGAAAUUUUCAUAUUUACAGACAUGGUAUAUCUUUCAUUUAUUUAAAUCAUCAUUAAUUCCUCACAGAAAUAAUUUGUAGCUUUCACAUGAGAAGUAUGGCAUAUUCAAAAAUAUUUCCAGAUAUGUAUUUUUAUGCUACUGUAUUUUACAAUUAAAACAUUUUGUUUGGGUACUUUUUAUUACAAUUAUAUACAAAUAAAGUUAAUUGGU